rnacentral:lncRNA from 1 species
UGUGCCCACUGCUUAGCAUUCAUUUUUUUUGCCAGGGGUAUGGGGCAAUAACCUUUGUAUUUUUCCUCUUGCUGAACUCCUAGACCCUGAAUAUAAGACUACUGGCUGGCCCAUGGAGAGCAAACGUUUUCCUCUGCUGCGAUGCUGUCUUUGACAUUGCCCUGGUGCCUGCUUCCGACCCCCAGGAGAAAGUGCUGUAUAAAGAGGUUCACCUAAUUAACACCCACUGGACUGCAAACUCGACAAGGCAAGGCCAGACUGCAUGUUUUUGCACUCCCUUCCACCCCUACCCUGCUGGAAUUCUUCUACCUACCAUGAAGUAUGACCCACAGUCCAACCCAACAAAGAUCUGCUGAUGGAAGAAACGGGGCAAUGCCUGUACAUGGGGCCUUCAGGUCCGGCUGGAACAAGGCGGCUUCCCUGUUUUACUCUGCUGUGGCCUGUUUGUUUAGGUGGCAGGGGCUUGGACAAUGGGCGUCCAUGCCGAGAUACAAUGGAGCUGUCAAUUAAGAUGCCCCGCCUUCCCCUGGCAGAGGGUCAGAUGCUCUGCCCUGGGAAUUUGAAUGAAUCCCUCAGCCGGCCCAGCUACUCACUGCUCUGGUCCCAUCUGACCCAGGUGGUCUCACCAUUCUCCCCCACCUUCUGCCUUCUAAUAAAUUCCUUUCGUGCCUG